rnacentral:rRNA from 1 species
UCCGUAGGCAGCGAGCGUUGUUCGGAAUUACUGGGCGUAAAGAGUGUGUAGGCGGUGCUCUAAGUUCGGUGUGAAAUCUCUCGGCUUAACUGGGAGGGUGCGCCGGAAACUGGAGUGCUCGAACGUGGGAGAGGAAAGCGGAAUUCCUGGUGUAGCGGUGAAAUGCGUAGAUAUCAGGAGGAACACCUGCGGUGUAGACGGCUUUCUGGACCAUUGUUGACGCUGAGACACGAAAGCGUGGGUAGCAAACAGG